rnacentral:rRNA from 1 species
CCUACGGGAGGCAGCAGUGGGGAAUAUUGCACAAUGGGGGAAACCCUGAUGCAGCGACGCCGCGUGAGUGAAGAAGUAAUUCGUUAUGUAAAGCUCUAUCAGCAGGGAAGAAAAUGACGGUACCUGAGUAAGUAGCCCCGGCUAACUACGUGCCAGCAGCCGCGGUAAUACGUAGGGGGCAAGCGUUAUCCGGAUUUACUGGGUGUAACGGGAGCGUAGACGGCAGUGCAAGUCUGGAGUGAAAGGCGGGGGCUCAACCCCCGGACUGCUCUGGAAACUGUACGGCUGGAGUGCAGGAGAGGUAAGUGGAAUUCCUAGGGUAGCGGUGAAAUGCGUAGAUAUUAGGAGGAACACCAGUGGCGAAGGCGGCUUACUGGACUGUAACUGACGUUGAGGCUCGAAAGCGUGGGGAGCAAACAGGAUUAGAUACCCGAGUAGUC